UCCGGUUGAUCCUGCCGGACCUGACUGCUAUCGGAUUGAUACUAAGCCAUGCGAGUCAUUGUAGCAAUACAAGGCAGACGGCUCAGUAACGCGUAGUCAACCUACCCUAUGGACGGGAAUAACCUCGGGAAACUGAGAAUAAUGCCCGAUAGAACAUUAUGCCUGGAAUGGUUUAUGUUCCAAAUGAUUUAUCGCCGUAGGAUGGGACUGCGGCCUAUCAGUUUGUUGGUGAGGUAAUGGCCCACCAAGACUAUUACAGGUACGGGCUCUGAGAGGAGUGGCCCGGAGAUGGGUACUGAGACACGGACCCAGGCCCUAUGGGGCGCAGCAGGCGAGAAAACUUUGCAAUGUGCGAAAGCACGACAAGGUUAAUCCGAGUGGUUUCUGCUAAAGGAACCUUUUGACAGUCCUAGAAACACUGUUGAAUAAGGGGUGGGCAAGUUCUGGUGUCAGCCGCCGCGGUAAAACCAGCACCUCAAGUGGUCAGGAUGAUUAUUGGGCCUAAAGCAUCCGUAGCCGGCUCUGUAAGUUUUCGGUUAAAUCUAUACGCUCAACGUAUAGGCUGCCGGGAAUACUGCAGAGCUAGGGAGUGGGAGAGGUAGACGGUACUCGGUAGGAAGGGGUAAAAUCCUUUGAUCUAUUGAUGACCACCUGUGGCGAAGGCGGUCUACCAGAACACGUCCGACGGUGAGGGAUGAAAGCUGGGGGAGCAAACCGGAUUAGAUACCCGGGUAGUCCCAGCUGUAAACUAUGCAAACUCAGUGAUGCAUUGGCUUGUGGCCAAUGCAGUGCUGCAGGGAAGCCGUUAAGUUUGCCGCCUGGGAAGUACGUACGCAAGUAUGAAACUUAAAGGAAUUGGCGGGGGAGCACCACAAGGGGUGAAGCCUGCGGUUCAAUUGGAUUCAACGCCGGA
rnacentral:rRNA from 2 species